CAAUAGCGUAUAUUAAAGUUGUUGCAGUUAAAAAGCUCGUAGUUGGAUUUGUGGUUCGUCCCGCCGGCUGGGUCAUUGACUUUUGCUGUGCUGGUCGUCCAUCCUUGGGUGGAAUCUGUGUGGCAUUAGGUUGUCGCGCAGGGGAUGCCCAUCGUUUACUGUGAAAAAAUUAGAGUGUUCAAAGCAGGCUUAUGCCGUUGAAUAUAUUAGCAUGGAAUAAUGAUAUAGGACCUUGGUACUAUUUUGUUGGUUUGCGCACUGAGGUAAUGAUUAAUAGGGACAGUUGGGGGUAUUCGUAUUCCAUUGUAAGAGGUGAAAUUCUUGGAUUUUUGGAAGACGAACUACUGCGAAAGCAUUUACCAAGGAUGUUUUCACUAA
rnacentral:rRNA from 1 species